UUGUGCAUUCACGUUCUGUUUCUCUCUGCCUGAAGUUAUAUACUCUUGUUCAGAUUGUUUUAGUUUCUCUCUGAUUGAAGGUAAAUGCUCUGGCUCGGUUUGAUUCAUUUUCUCUCCAUCUGAGGGUAUAUGUUCUUGCUCACAUAUAUCCAGUGUCUCUUCGCCUGAAGUUAUAUCAUCUGUCUCGGAUUGAUUCAGGUUCUCUCCUCCUGAAGGUAUCUUCUCUUGUUCAGAUUGAUUCAGUUUCUCUCCGCCUGAAAUUAUAUACUCUGGCUCAGAUUGAUUCAGUUUUUCUCCGCCUAAAGGUAUAUUCUCUUGCUCGGAUUGAUUCCGUUUCUCUCCGCCUGAAGGUAUAUACUCGGGAUCGGAUUGAUUCAGUUUCUCUCUGUCUGAGGGUAUGUGUUCUUGCGCAUAUAGAUUCAGUUUCUCUCCACCUGAAGGUAUAUACUCUGGCUCGGAUUGAUUAAUUUUCUCUCCGUCCGUUAGUAUGUGUUCUUGCGCAUAUAGAUUCAGUUUCUCUCCCCCUGAAGGUAUAUACUCUGGCUCGGAUUGAUUCAGUUUCUC